rnacentral:rRNA from 1 species
AUACGGGGGGUGCAAGCGUUAAUCGGAAUUACUGGGCGUAAAGGGUUCGUAGGCGGUUUAUUAAGUCAGAUGUGAAAGCCCAGGGCUCAACCUUGGAACUGCAUUUGAUACUGGUAGACUAGAGUAUAGUAGAGGAGUGGGGAAUUUCUGGUGUAGCGGUGAAAUGCGUAGAGAUCAGAAGGAACACCAAUGGCGAAGGCAACACUCUGGACUAAUACUGACGCUGAGGGACGAAAGCGUGGGGAUCAAACAGGAUUAGAUACCCUGGUAGUCCACGCUGUAAACGAUGAGUACUAGCUGUUGGGUUCGGUGUAAAGGAUCUAGUGGCGUAGCUAACGCGGUAAGUACUCCGCCUGGGGACUACGGUCGCAAGACUAAAACUCAAAGGAAUUGACGGGACCCGCACAAGCGGUGGAGCAUGUGGUUUAAUUCGAUGCAACGCGAAGAACCUUACCUGGUCUUGACAUCCUGAGAACUUUCUAGAGAUAGAUUGGUGCCUUCGGGAACUCAGUGACAGGUGCU